rnacentral:rRNA from 1 species
UGGGGAAUAUUGCACAAUGGGCGCAAGCCUGAUGCAGCCAUGCCGCGUGUAUGAAGAAGGCCUUCGGGUUGUAAAGUACUUUCAGCGGGGAGGAAGGGAGUAAAGUUAAUACUUUUGCUCAUUGACGUUACUCGCAGAAGAAGCACCGGCUAACUCCGUGCCAGCAGCUGCGGUAAUACGGAGGGUGCAAGCGUCAAUCGGAAUUACUGGGCGUAAAGCGCACGCAGGCGGUUUGUUAAGUCAGAUGUGAAAUCCCCGGGCUCAACCUGGGAAAUGCAUCUGAUACUGGCAAGCUUGAGUCUCGUAGAGGGGGGUAGAAUUCCAGGUGUAGCGGUGAAAUGCGUAGAGAUCUGGAGGAAUACCGGUGGCGAAGGCGGCCCCCUGGACGAAGACUGACGAUCAGGUGCGAAAGCGUGGGGAGCAAACGGG